rnacentral:rRNA from 1 species
UACAGAGGUCCCGAGCGUUGUUCGGAUUCACUGGGCGUAAAGGGUGCGUAGGCGGUUCUGCAAGUCUGAUGUGAAAUCUCCAGGCCCAACCUGGAAACUGCAUUAGAAACUACAGGGCUAGAGGCUUGGAGGGGGAACUGGAAUUCUCGGUGUAGCAGUGAAAUGCGUAGAGAUCGAGAGGAACACCAGUGGCGAAGGCGAGUUCCUGGACAAGGCCUGACGCUGAGGCACGAAAGCCAGGGGAGCGAACGGG